CCGCGCUCCCCUCCACCUAGUCGGGGCCCAGGGAUCGGCUCUCCCAGGGCCGGGGGUCGGCGCCGGGUUUGCCCGGCGUUCGGGCUGGACCCCGCUCAGCCGCGGGAGGGCCGGGCGGCGCCUGGCCCUGCGUGACCCCGCGGCGGAGGACGGGCGGGCGCGGGGCUGCGGGGACGGCCCGGGGCUGGAGGUCCCAUAGACCGGCGCUGGCGGGUGAAAGGUGAGAACUCCUGACCCACCGGAUGAAGAGUGUUUUAAAUGUGAAUGUAGCUGUUUUAGUCGUCAAGGUCUCCUGACUGGGGAAGCAGGGGCAGAGGCCCUGGGUGAGACCUGCACUGGAGGACACUUUGUGCUGUGAAGGAAAGAUGCGUGAAGACUGCUGGUGGCAAGUCUCCUUUCUUCUGCCGCCCUGGUGCGUGUGUAGCAGUACCAGAAUUGUUCAUCUGCACCCCCAUUGUUGACAAGCAACUGUAUCAGUGAGGCUAUGAUGAUGAUGGGCAACUGUUUUUACCCUUGGUUUCAUAGCUUCUCUUCAUUUCCAAAGUCACUCAGGUCUGCCUGCUGCUGCUGCUGCGUCAGGUCAGUCGUGUCCGACUCUGUGCGACCCCAUAGACGGCAGCGCCUAUGUUGCUACAAACGGCGUUUGCAAAUGGCAUUUCCAUGACGUGGCCUUUGUGAAUGGUGCUGCCAUGAACAUUGAGGAGAUCUGUGCUACAAGGAAGGGAUGAGCUGUAGAAGCCAGCCUGGCCCUCUGCUUCCUUCUAACACCCACUCCCAACCAUUGCCAGUCUCUGCUGAUGCCAUAGCUAAGCAACCUGCUGCAAUUGCUUUUUUGGGUAAAUUUCCUCCAACAAUAACAUCUUCUGGCUUCUCAAAGACCUGCUAAAGAAUGAUGGGCUUCAUUGCGUGAGGCAUCUCUGUGAGUAAUAAAUGGAGCUAUUUUCUUUCCCUUGGGAAGCUAAAUUAUGCUGGUCUGUUCUCAGUAAUAAACAGUGCUAUGAGUCUUAUUACAUAGGAAGUACCUAAAACCUACUUUAGAUGGUGGGUUUUAUGUAAAGUGCUUAUCGGGCUGCUUGAAUUCUUUAUUGCAUUUUAGAGUCUAAACAAUGUCCGUAUAAAAACAGAAAAUGAUUUCACAGUUCUCCAGGGUCAAGGCAGG